UACAGAAUAACAAAAACAAGUUGGACAAAUAGGCUGAAAAACAGCUUCUAUCCCAGGGCAGUAGCUCUGUUGAACUCUACUGUAUAGUGCUGUACUGUAUUGGUGUGGUAUCGGGAGUUUCCAAUUCAAUGUUUGGGGUGUGAAGGAUGUGUGUUUGUGUUUAUUUUCAUGGUCAUGAAGUGCACUGAAGAUGGUGUUUGAUUUCGUUGUACGAGGUGCAAUGACAAUAAACUAAAGUAAAGUAAACUAAACUAGUCACCCCUAGGUGAAAUGGGGUGGAGAAAAUGAGGUAAGAAAAACAAAGGAAAAAACAAGGGUGUUCCC